rnacentral:rRNA from 1 species
GAUGAACGCUGGCGGCGUGCCUAAUACAUGCAAGUCGAGCGAACAGACGAGGAUCUUGCUCCUCUGACGUUAGCGGCGGACGGGUGAGUAACACGUGGAUAACCUCCCUAUAUUACUGGGAUAACUUCGGGACACCGGCGCUAAUACCGUAUAAUAUCUUGCACCGCAUGGUUCAAUAGUGAAAGACGGUUUUGCUGUCACUUAUCGAUGGAUCCGCGCGGCAUUAGCUAGUUGGUAAGGUAACGGCUUACCAAGGCAACGAUGCGUAGCCGACCUGAGAGGGUGAUAGGCCACACUGGAAGUGAGACACGGACCAGACUCCUACGGGAGGCAGCAGUAGGGAAUCGGACGCAAUGGGCGAAAGCAUGACGGAGCAACGCCGAGUGAGUGAUGAAGGUCUUGGGAGCGUAAAAAUCUGUUAUUAGGGAAGAACAAAUGUGGAAGGAACUAUGCACGUAGUGACGGUAACGAAUCAGAAAGCAACGGCUAACUACGUG